rnacentral:rRNA from 1 species
UACGUAGGGCGCAAGCGUUGUCCGGAAUUAUUGGGCGUAAAGAGCUCGUAGGCGGCUUGUCACGUCGGAUGUGAAAGCCCGGGGCUUAACCCCGGGUCUGCAUUCGAUACGGGCUAGCUAGAGUGUGGUAGGGGAGAUCGGAAUUCCUGGUGUAGCGGUGAAAUGCGCAGAUAUCAGGAGGAACACCAGUGGCGAAGGCGGCACUCUGGGCCGGUACUGACGCUGAGGAGCGAAAGCGUGGGGAGCGAACAGG